rnacentral:rRNA from 1 species
GCUAUCUACAGGCUUAACACAUGCAAGUCGAGGGGCAUCAGGAAGAAAGCUUGCUUUCUUUGCUGGCGACCGGCGCACGGGUGAGUAACACGUAUCCAACCUGCCCUUUACUCGGGGAUAGCCUUUCGAAAGAAAGAUUAAUACCCGAUAGCAUAAUGAUUCCGCAUGGUUUCAUUAUUAAAGGAUUCCGGUAAAGGAUGGGGAUGCGUUCCAUUAGGUUGUUGGUGAGGUAACGGCCCACCAAGCCUUCGAUGGAUAGGGGUUCUGAGAGGAAGGUCCCCCACAUUGGAACUGAGACACGGUCCAAACUCCUACGGGAGGCAGCAGUGAGGAAUAUUGGUCAAUGGGCGCUAGCCUGAACCAGCCAAGUAGCGUGAAGGAUGAAGGCUCUAUGGGUCGUAAACUUCUUUUAUAUAAGAAUAAAGUGCAGUAUGUAUACUGUUUUGUAUGUAUUAUAUGAAUAAGGAUCGGCUAACUCCGUGCCAGCAGCCGCGGUAAUACGGAGGAUCCGAGCGUUAUCCGGAUUUAUUGGGUUUAAAGGGAGCGUAGGUGGACUGGUAAGUCAGUUGUGAAAGUUUGCGGCUCAACCGUAAAAUUGCAGUUGGUACUGUCAGUCUUGAGUACAGUAGAGGUGGGCGGAAUUCGUGGUGUAGCGGUGAAAUGCUUAGAUAUCACGAAGAACUCCGAUUGCGAAGGCAGCUCACUGGACUGCAACUGACACUGAUGCUCGAAAGUGUGGGUAUCAAACAGGAUUAGAUACCCUGGUAGUCCACACAGUAAACGAUUAAUACUCGCUGUUUGCGAUAUACAGUAAGCGGCCAAGCGGAAGCAUUAAGUAUUCCACCUGGGGAGUACGCCGGCAACGGUGAAACUCAAAGGAAUUGACGGGGGCCCGCACAAGCGGAGGAACAUGUGGUUUAAUUCGAUGAUACGCGAGGAACCUUACCCGGGCUUAAAUUGCAGUGGAAUGAUGUGGAAACAUGUCAGUGAGCAAUCACCGCUGUGAAGGUGCUGCAUGGUUGUCGUCAGCUCGUGCCGUGAGGUGUCGGCUUAAGUGCCAUAACGAGCGCAACCCUUAUCUUUAGUUACUAACAGGUUAUGCUGAGGACUCUAGAGAGACUGCCGUCGUAAGAUGUGAGGAAGGUGGGGAUGACGUCAAAUCAGCACGGCCCUUACGUCCGGGGCUACACACGUGUUACAAUGGGGGGUACAGAAGGCAGCUAGCGGGUGACCGUAUGCUAAUCCCAAAAUCCUCUCUCAGUUCGGAUCGAAGUCUGCAACCCGACUUCGUGAAGCUGGAUUCGCUAGUAAUCGCGCAUCAGCCACGGCGCGGUGAAUACGUUCCCGGGCCUUGUACACACCGCCCGUCAAGCCAUGGGAGCCGGGGGUACCUGAAGUACGUAACCGCAAGGAUCGUCCUAGGGUAAAACUGGUGACUGGGGCUA